rnacentral:rRNA from 1 species
AUUGGACGCUGGCGGCAGGCCUAACACAUGCAAGUCGAGCGGAUGAAGGGAGCUUGCUCCUGGAUUCAGCGGCGGACGGGUGAGUAAUGCCUAGGAAUCUGCCUGGUAGUGGGGGAUAACGUCCGGAAACGGGCGCUAAUACCGCAUACGUCCUGAGGGAGAAAGUGGGGGAUCUUCGGACCUCACGCUAUCAGAUGAGCCUAGGUCGGAUUAGCUAGUUGGUGGGGUAAAGGCCUACCAAGGCGACGAUCCGUAACUGGUCUGAGAGGAUGAUCAGUCACACUGGAACUGAGACACGGUCCAGACUCCUACGGGAGGCAGCAGUGGGGAAUAUUGGACAGUGGGCGAAAGCCUGAUCCAGCCAUGCCGCGUGUGUGAAGAAGGUCUUCGGAUUGUAAAGCACUUUAAGUUGGGAGGAAGGGCAGUAAGUUAAUACCUUGCUGUUUUGACGUUACCAACAGAAUAAGCACCGGCUAACUUCGU